ACCUCGGUGGUAUAAUGGUAGUACGCGUGCCCGGCAUGGAUGAAACGCGGAUUAGAGGCCCGCCUGAGGUC